GGAAAAAGACGAUCUCUCACUUUCUCCUCCAUUGACGGUGGUGACGAGCCUUGAUUCGCUUUUGGAGAAGCUCAAAGUGGAGGGGCCUUACCUUCCACCAAGCAUCAGGAGAGAUCCAGAGACAGCCUUUUGUAAUAGGUCAGUUCAGCUUUUUUACUUGGCUGAAUAGUGUUGAUCUGAGAUUCUGUGGCUUGAUUUUUGAUUGGUUAAGUGUUGCUGGAGGCGCAGCAUUGGGAAAGACUACUGUCUGUUGCAGUAAUCUUCUUACUGACUUAAGCUUAGUGUCUUUCCUGUGUUGGCUCAGGACUCAGGAAGAAUGUGUUAGAGAUCACUACUACUAGAUUUAAGUUUUCUUUUGAAAUAACCUUUUGUUUUAUUUAAUCUAUGUGAAGGGAUCACACAAAGGACGGUGGAGAGACGGGCAAGAAAGCAAAAUGGUUCUUUAGCGUCAAGAAAGCAUUCAGCCCAGAUUCAAAGAAGUCGAAGCACAGAUCCCGAGAGCCCAAAUGGUGUGAUCUUUAUCCUUCCUCCCCUGUUGGAUAACGCCAGACAUUCUCCUCCUCCACCUCCACUUGAGGUGAGAGUAGCUGAAGUGGUUGUUGAACGAAACAUCAAUCUUUCCCCUCCUUCUACAGAUGCUGUGAAUGCUACGACCACUGAUGUUCCUCUAGUCCCAUCUUCAUCAUCUUCUGCUCCUCCUGAGGUGGUUCGUCCUCGUGCUGCACCUACUCGGUUUGCUGGAAAGUCAAACGAAGAAGCGGCUGCUAUCUUGAUUCAGACUAUAUUCAGAGCCUAUUUGAGCAAUACGGGCGAUGAGGGGUUUGGUCAGGCUUAAGUCAUUGAUGGAAGGAUCUGUUGUUAAACGUCAAGCAGCAAACACUUUGAAAUGUAUGCAGACACUCUCUCGUGUACAGUCUCAAAUCCGAGAAAGGAGAA